AUUGAACGCUGGCGGCAUGCCUUACACAUGCAAGUCGAACGGCAGCACGGGAGCAAUCCUGGUGGCGAGUGGCGAACGGGUGAGUAAAGUAUCGGAACGUGCCCAGUCGUGGGGGAUAACGUAGCGAAAGUUACGCUAAUACCGCAUACGAUCUAUGGAUGAAAGCGGGGGAUCGCAAGACCUCGCGCGAUGGGAGCGGCAGAUAUCAGAUUAGGUAGUUGGUGGGGUAAAGGCUCACCAAGCCGACGAUCUGUAGCUGGUCUGAGAGGACGACCAGCCACACUGGGACUGAGACACGGCCCAGACUCCUACGGGAGGCAGCAGUGGGGAAUUUUGGACAAUGGGCGCAAGCCUGAUCCAGCCAUGCCGCGUGCAGGAUGAAGGCCUUCGGGUUGUAAACUGCUUUUGUACGGAACGAAAAGGUUUGGCUUAAUACGUUGAACUCAUGACGGUACUGUAAGAAUAAGCACCGGCUAACUACGUGCCAGCCGCCGCCGUAA
rnacentral:rRNA from 1 species